UUGCAAACUGUUCAGGAGAAAGAUCAUUUUCUUUGUUGAAACGAGUGAAAACAUACCGGAGAGCAACAGUAACAGAAAAAAAACUGAAUGCCUUUGCCCUGUUGGCAAUUGAGAAUGGAUUUACAACCUCCCUGGAUUUUGAAGACAUUAUCGAGGACUUCGCCUCAUCAAAACUUAGGAGAAAGCAUCUGUAAAGAUCGUGAUGAUGCUGUCAAGACGUGUUUCUGCUGCGAUGGAGGCCUGCGAUGCUGGAAGGCUGAAGAUUAUCCCUGAGUGGAGCAUGCUAAAUGGUUUCCUCAGUGUGAAUAUGGGCUCCAGGAGAAGGGACA